CCGAGUUUACAACUCCCAAACCCCCUGUGAACAUACCACUUGUUGCCUCGGCGGAUCAGCCCGCUCCCGGUAAAACGGGACGGCCCGCCAGAGGACCCCCUAAACUCUGUUUCUAUAUGUAACUUCUGAGUAAAACCAUAAAUAAAUCA
rnacentral:misc_RNA from 1 species